UGAAAAAAAUAAAUGCUGGUGAUGUUGUGGUGAAAAGGGAACACUUAUACACUGCUAGUGGGCAUGUAAAUUAUUUUAGCCACUGUGAAGAGCAGUUUGGACAUUUCACAAAGAACUUAAAACAGAGUUUACCAUUUGAUCCAGCAAUCCCAUUAGUGGGUAUAUACCCAAAAGAAAAUAAAUCAUUCUAAAAAAAAGACACAUGCACUCAUGCAUUCAUCACUACAUUAUUCACAAUAACAAAGGCAUGGAAUUAACCCAGAUGCCCAUCCGUGGCAGAUUGUAUAAAGAAAAUAUAGUACCUAUACACCAUGGAAAACUACCCAGCCAUA